rnacentral:rRNA from 1 species
CCUACGGGAGGCAGCAGUAGGGAAUAUUGCUCAAUGGGGGAAACCCUGAAGCAGCAACGCCGCGUGGAUGAUGAAGGUUUUCGGAUUGUAAACUCCUUUUGUUAGAGAAGAUAAUGACGGUAUCUAACGAAUAAGCACCGGCUAACUCCGUGCCAGCAGCCGCGGUAAUACGGAGGGUGCAAGCGUUACUCGGAAUCACUGGGCGUAAAGAGCGCGUAGGCGGGAGAGCAAGUCAGAUGUGAAAGCCUAUGGCUUAACCAUAGAACUGCAUUUGAAACUGUUAUUCUAGAGUAUGGGAGAGGUAGGUGGAAUUCUUGGUGUAGGGGUAAAAUCCGUAGAGAUCAGGAGGAACACUCAUUGCGAAGGCGACCUGCUGGAACAUUACUGACGCUGAUGCACGAAAGCGUGGGGAGCAAACAGGAUUAGAUACCCCGGUAGUC